rnacentral:rRNA from 1 species
GACGAACGCUGGCGGCGUGCUUAACACAUGCAAGUCGAACGGAAAGGCCCUGCUUUUGUGGGGUGCUCGAGUGGCGAACGGGUGAGUAACACGUGAGUAACCUGCCCUUGACUUUGGGAUAACUUCAGGAAACUGGGGCUAAUACCGGAUAGGAGCUCCUGCUGCAUGGUGGGGGUUGGAAAGUUUCGGCGGUUGGGGAUGGACUCGCGGCUUAUCAGCUUGUUGGGGGGGUAGUGGCUUACCAAGGCUUUGACGGGUAGCCGGCCUGAGAGGGUGACCGGCCACAUUGGGACUGAGAUACGGCCCAGACUCCUACGGGAGGCAGCAGUGGGGAAUAUUGCCCAAUGGGCGGAAGCCUGAUGCAGCAACGCCGCGUGCGGGAUGACGGCCUUCGGGUUGUAAACCGCUUUCGCCUGUGACGAAGCGUGAGUGACGGUAAUGGGUAAAGAAGCACCGGCUAACUACGUG